ACCUCCUACGGGAGGCAGCAGUGGGAAUAUUGGCACAAUGGGGGAAACCCUGAUGCAGCCAUGCCGCGUGUGUGAAGAAGGCCUUCGGGUUGUAAAGCACUUUCAGUAGGGAGGAAGGUAGUGUAGUUAACACCUUGCUACUAUUUGACGUUACCUACAGAAGAAGCACCGGCUAACUCCGUGCCAGCAGCCGCGGUAAUACGGAGGGUGCGAGCGUUAAUCGGAAUUACUGGGCGUAAAGCGCAUGCAGGCGGCCUGUUAAGUCAGAUGUGAAAGCCCGGGGCUUAA
rnacentral:rRNA from 1 species